AGUGAACGCUGGCGGUAGGCCUAACACAUGCAAGUCGAACGGCAGCACAGUAAGAGCUUGCUCUUACGGGUGGCGAGUGGCGGACGGGUGAGGAAUACAUCGGAAUCUACUUUUUCGUGGGGGAUAACGUAGGGAAACUUACGCUAAUACCGCAUACGACCUACGGGUGAAAGCAGGGGAUCUUCGGACCUUGCGCGAUUGAAUGAGCCGAUGUCGGAUUAGCUAGUUGGCGGGGUAAAGGCCCACCAAGGCGACGAUCCGUAGCUGGUCUGAGAGGAUGAUCCGCCACACUGGAACUGAGACACGGUCCAGACUCCUAGGGGGGGCAGCAGGGGGGAAUUUUGGAAAAUGGGCGGAAGCCUGAUCCAGCCAACCCGCGUGGGUGAAGAAGGCCUUCGGGUUGUAAAGCCCUUUUGUUGGGAAAGAAAAGCAGCAGGUUAAAACCCCGCUGUUCUGACGGUACCCAAAGAAUAAGCACCGGCUAACUUCGU
rnacentral:rRNA from 1 species